AUCCAAAUAUACUCCUGCCCAGUGACUCAGGGAGACUAGAGGAGUGAAGAGAAGGAGGUGAUGUUGACAGAGAACAAGUGCCAUUUACCUUCUAUAUUAGAAUGUUGCAGUUGU
rnacentral:lncRNA from 1 species